CCCUUAGAUGUUCUGGGCCGCACGCGCGCUACACUGAUGCAUUCAACGAGUCUAAAACCUGCUCUGAUAGGGGUGGGUAAUCUUUUGAAUGUGCAUCGUGAUUGGGAUAGAUGAUUGCAAUUUUUCAUCUUCAACGAGGAUUGCCUAGUAAACGCAAGUCAUCAGCUUGCAUUGAUUACGUCCCUGCCCUUUGUACACACCGCCCGUCGCUCCUACCGAUUGAAUGAUCCGAUGAAUAUCAUGGAUUGAGGAUGCAAGCAGGUUCGCCUGUCUUCAUCUUCGAGAAGUGAAGUAAAUCUUAUCAUUUAGAGGAAGGAGAAGUCGUAACA
rnacentral:rRNA from 1 species